GUGGGGAAUAUUGGACAAUGGGGGGAACCCUGAUCCAGCCAUGCCGCGUGUGUGAAGAAGGCCUUUUGGUUGUAAAGCACUUUAAGCGAGGAGGAGGCUACCGAGAUUAAUACUCUUGGAUAGUGGACGUUACUCGCAGAAUAAGCACCGGCUAACUCUGUGCCAGCAGCCGCGGUAAUACAGAGGGUGCAAGCGUUAAUCGGAUUUACUGGGCGUAAAGCGCGCGUAGGUGGCCAAUUAAGUCAAAUGUGAAAUCCCCGAGCUUAACUUGGGAAUUGCAUGCGAUACUGGUUGGCUGGAGUAUGGGAGAGGAUGGUAGAAUUCCAGGUGUAGCGGUGAAAUGCGUAGAGAUCUGGAGGAAUACCGAUGGCGAAGGCAGCCAUCUGGCCUAAUACUGACACUGAGGUGCGAAAGCAUGGGGAGCAAACAGGAUUAGAUACCCCAGUAGUCC
rnacentral:rRNA from 1 species